UAGAAAAAAGCUCACUGGAUAGAGUUUUUAGCUGUUAACUAAAAUUAUAUGGGAUCGAGGCCCAUUUUUCUAG
rnacentral:tRNA from 1 species